rnacentral:rRNA from 1 species
GAUGAACGCUGGCGGCGUGCCUAAUACAUGCAAGUCGAGCGAACGGACGAGAAGCUUGCUUCUCUGAUGUUAGCGGCGGACGGGUGAGUAACACGUGGAUAACCUACCUAUAAGACUGGGAUAACUUCGGGAAACCGUAGCUAAUACCGGAUAAUAUUUUGAACCGCAUGGUUCAAAAGUGAAAGACGGUCUUGCUGUCACUUAUAGAUGGAUCCGCGCUGCAUUAGCUAGUUGGUAAGGUAACGGCUUACCAAGGCAACGAUCCAUAGCCGACCUGAGAGGGUGAUCGGCCACAAUGGAACUGAGACACGGUCCAGACUCCUACGGGAGGCAGCAGUAGGGAAUCUUCCGCAAUGGGCGAAAGCCUGACGGAGCAACGCCGCGUGAGUGAUGAAGGUCUUCGGAUCGUAAUACUCUGUUAUUAGGGAAGAACAUAUGUGUAAGUAACUGUGCACAUCUUGACGGUACCUAAUCAGAAAGCCACGGCUAACUACGUG